rnacentral:rRNA from 1 species
GAGUUUGAUCCUGGCUCAGGACGAACGCUGGCGGCGUGCCUAAUACAUGCAAGUCGAGCGGAGUUGAAUAAGUGCUUGCACUAAUUCAACUUAGCGGCGAACGGGUGAGUAACACGUAAAGAACCUGCCUCAUAGACUGGGACAACUACUGGAAACGGUAGCUAAUACCGGAUAACAUAUUUUUCCGCAUGGAAGAAUAUUGAAAGUCGGUCAUGCUGACACUAUGAGAUGGCUUUGCGGUGCAUUAGCUAGUUGGUAGGGUAAAGGCCUACCAAGGCGACGAUGCAUAGCCGACCUGAGAGGGUGAUCGGCCACACUGGGACUGAGACACGGCCCAGACUCCUACGGGAGGCAGCAGUAGGGAAUCUUCCGAAAUGGACGAAAGUCUGACGGAGCAACGCCGCGUGAGUGAAGAAGGAUUUCGGUUCGUAAAACUCUGUUGUUAGGGAAGAAUGAUUGUAUAGUAACUAUAUACAGUAGAGACG